rnacentral:lncRNA from 1 species
UUACUUGAGGACUUCAAAAAUUUUUUAAAUUUUUUCUUAUUCUCCCCCCAACUUAAUCGACAUUAUCCUCAAUGGAGUAAAAAGAAUAAAGGGUACAUAAAAAGAGAAAGAAAAGCAGAGAUGUCACCUGAUCCAAAAAUCUUUUCAAAAUUGAUUCUCCUUCCAACUUAGCCAAUAUUAUCUUCAAAUCCCUACAAAAGAUACGAAGCAAGCCUCGAUUAACCUAAACAAAAUGCAAAAGAAAGCAAAAGCAAAAGUUGAAACUGGGUUGCCUCCCAA